UGAUCAGGCGCUGCAAUAAAAGUUGAAAAAUGACUUUGAAGACUCCUUGACUGAGCAGCUACAGCCAAUAGUGCCUUUUAGCAAGGGCCAUGGAGUUGAGUGCAACCAAAGCACCACUCGGGUGGCUAGUUUCAAAUCUCUCAAGCUAUGCUUCUAAGUACUCAUUAACAUGGAGAACAGCGGAGGAAGCUCACUCCUGCCCCCACAGUCUUUGCCUACCACCUGGGAAUGGAAGCUAUGUCCCAGCACGUGCAAGCUCACCAUCACUGUGCUGGGGACCACUAUAAGAAAAGGGAGGAUCUUCACAGGCUAUGAAAGCUGAGCUGCAGUUCGCCUCCCCUGUAAGAGGGGUGGCCUGGGACGGCACGGUAAGGGAAGGAUCAUGCAAUGCCUUCCCCAUGGCUCCAAUAUAUUUAAUCCAUAAAAUAAAAGUUCUGAAGAUGAAGUAUGUUUCUGGAAGCCAA